rnacentral:rRNA from 1 species
ACGGGGGGUGCGAGCGUUGUCCGGAAUCACUGGGCGUAAAGGGCGCGUAGGUGGUUUGAUAAGGGUGUGGUGAAAGUCCGGGGCUCAACCCCGGAUCUGCCGUGCCGACUGUCAAACUCGAGGGCUGUAGAGGCAGACGGAAUUCCGGGUGUAGCGGUGGAAUGCGUAGAGAUCCGGAGGAAGACCGGUGGCGAAGGCGGUCUGCUGGGCAGUUUCUGACACUGAUGCGCGACAGCGUGGGGAGCAAACAGGA